GACGAACGCUGGCGGCGUGCUUAACACAUGCAAGUCGAACGGAAAGGCCCUGCUUUUGUGGGGUGCUCGAGUGGCGAACGGGUGAGUAACACGUGAGUAACCUGCCCUUGACUUUGGGAUAACUUCAGGAAACUGGGGCUAAUACCGGAUAGGAGCUCCUGCUGCAUGGUGGGGGUUGGAAAGUUUCGGCGGUUGGGGAUGGACUCGCGGCUUAUCAGCUUGUUGGUGGGGUAGUGGCUUACCAAGGCUUUGACGGGUAGCCGGCCUGAGAGGGUGACCGGCCACAUUGGGACUGAGAUACGGCCCAGACUCCUACGGGAGGCAGCAGUGGGGAAUAUUGCACAAUGGGCGGAAGCCUGAUGCAGCAACGCCGCGUGCGGGAUGACGGCCUUCAGGUUGUAAACCGCUUUCGCCUGUGACGAAGCGUGAGUGACGGUAAUGGGUAAAGAAGCACCGGCUAACUACGUG
rnacentral:rRNA from 1 species